GGUCCGCCCCCUAUACGUCAUCAUUGAGUAAACUUUGACCCGGAACCUCACAGUCAGCAGACACUUCCUGGGAGGGAGGGUCUGCUGAUGAUUGGGUGGAAUGUGUCUGCUGGCUGUGAGGUUCCAGGUCAAAGUUUACUCAAUGAUGACGUAUAGGGGGCGGACC
rnacentral:miRNA from 1 species